GUAGGGAAUAUUGGGCAAUGGAUGCAAGUCUGACCCAGCCAUCCCGCGUGCCGGAAGAAGGCCCUCAGGGUUGUAAACGGCUUUUGACGGUGAAGAAUCGACAGGAUGCGUCCUGUUUUGACGGUAGCCGUUGAAUAAGCACCGGCUAACUCCGUGCCAGCAGCCGCAGUAAUACGGAGGGUGCGAGCGUUGUCCGGAUUUAUUGGGUUUAAAGGGUGCGUAGGCUGGAAGGUCAGUCAGCGGUGAAAAGCUGUCGCUUAACGAUAGUCUUGCCGCAGAUACUUGCGUUCUUGGAUGAGGAGGAGGCCACUGGAACGGAUGGUGUAGCGGUGAAAUGCAUAGAUAUCAUCCAGAACACCGAUUGCGAAGGCAGGUGGCUGUACCUUAAUCGACGCUGAUGCACGAAAGCAUGGGGAGCAAACAGGAUUAGAAACCCUGGUAGUCC
rnacentral:rRNA from 1 species